rnacentral:rRNA from 1 species
UACGUAGGGUGCAAGCGUUAAUCGGAAUUACUGGGCGUAAAGCGUGCGCAGGCGGUCCGUUAAGACAGAUGUGAAAUCCCCGGGCUUAACCUGGGAACUGCAUUUGUGACUGGCGGGCUAGAGUAUGGCAGAGGGGGGUAGAAUUCCACGUGUAGCAGUGAAAUGCGUAGAGAUGUGGAGGAACACCGAUGGCGAAGGCAGCCCCCUGGGUCAAGAUUGACGCUCAUGCACGAAAGCGUGGGGAGCAAGCAGG